rnacentral:lncRNA from 1 species
CCCGGCAGUUCCCGCUUUGUUCCCGCCUCGCCUCCACCCGGCAGUUGCCUGGCAACUCCAUCCAUGCGGCUGCCGGAGAGCAGCAAAACACGGCCCCACAUCCAUAUCCCCAUCCCCGGCUGGAUGAGGGGCUGUGAGGAUGGCACAGCACGGCACGGCACGGCCCGGCACGUCCCUCCUCCAGUGGUCAGAUCCCCCACAGCCCAUCCAGCACCCCCAAAAAAUCCCACUCUGCUGAGCUCCUCCAUCCCCUUUCCCCGCUGCAUCCAGACGAGGGUUCUCAAUGUGGGUGUAAAUGGUGCUGCUGGCCAGGUUCAGCCACGCAGAGAGGGGCUGCUGCUGACAGCAGGAGGGGAAACUGAGGCACAGAGAGACCCUGAGACACUGGUGGCAAUGGGGAUGCACUGGACCACCAAGCAGGAGGGACCUGGAGCACUGUGCCAUGCUGAGGGCAAUGCUCCCCCUGGGAAAGGUGCUCCAGAUCCAGCCUGUCCCAUCCCCUCUCCCCGUGUCGGCAGGGAUGGGGGCACUGCUGGCGCAGAGCGAACUAUUGGCUUAAUUAAUUUGCUGUUAUUUCUCCUAACGAGCUGGGAUCUGGAGCGGGCGCUUCCCUGGCUUGGCAGCCAGCGCAUUCCCCCGCCCCGGCAGCGAGCCGGGGGUGCGAAGCCUCCAGGCACUGCUCAAAACAGACCGUGUGUAGGAGGGAAAAAUUACACCCCGGGAAAAAUCCCUCCCCAAGCCAGCGCUUUAACCCACUUCCCAGCUGCAGCGCUGCGAGAAGGGACUCGGGCAUUUGGGGAAGGGGAGAAGCACCACGAGACUGGGGCAGCUCCUCCAUGAGGUCCCUGUGGAGGGCUGAGCCAAAUCCUGGACUAUGCUCAGACCUGAUCCUGCUGCCAGGGAGGGAAACUGAGCCAGUGGCACUGGGGAGGGAUGGGGUAGUAAAGCAAUGUGGGCAGAAAUUGGGGAGACCUGAAGGGAAGGGGGGAAAAGGGAGUGGGAUG